UUUCAUUUUUUCACUCGCUUCUUCUUCACCUCCCUCCCUUCUGUCUCGCUUUUCUCCUCUGACUCACGUCCGAUCCGAGGGCCAUCGCUCUCCCUCUCUCUCCAUUUCUCUCAACCUGUGAAUGCCGAUCCUUCGUUACUUCCUUCGGCGAUCUCCAUACUCGAUCGCUUAGCGCGCGCGCGCUCUCUCUCUCUCUCUCUCUCUCUCUUCCGUCGGAGAAAGCAUCGCCCGUCGAUUCUCUCGCCGUCUAGGGUUUUCGACGAUUCGCACCAGGUGCUGUGUCGGUCAAGGUUUUGUCCAAUUUGCUUGGAUGACCUUGGAACAACUUUUAAACCAUGGCAUCAGGUACAACUGGAGAUCGAAGGCGGGUUCUUGCAAGAAGAAGCAACAUGACAGUCUUGGGGAAAGUCGCCGUUCCUAAACCCAUAAACCUGCCCAGCCAGAGGCUUGAAAAUCAUGGUUUGGACCCAAAUGUGGAAAUAGUUCCAAAGGGUACCCUUAGUUGGGGUAGCAGGUCCUCUGCCUCUACGCCCAAUGCAUGGGGUUCAUCUUUGCUCUCCCCCAGUGCUGACGGUAGUAUAAAUUCACCGAGCCACCUCAGUGCUCGGCCUUCAUCGGGUGAAAGUGGCACCCGACCAUCUACUGCGGGAAGCGACCGGGCUCUUGAUUCUAUUAAUGCAUGGGGCUCAAAUUCUCGGCCAUCUUCUGCUUCUGGAGCAUUGUCAUCCAGUCAGACAUCACUAGCAUCAUUACGUCCUCGAAGUGCAGAAACAAGGCCUGGUAGCUCACAGUUAUCUCGUUUUGCAGACUCUGUGCUUGAUAAUUCAGUGGCUGGGGGUGUGGAAAGACUGGGACCGACAUGCUCUAAGAAUGACAGGUUUUCUUUAAGUUCUGGGGACUUCCCAGUUCUUGGUUCAGAGAAAAAUGGUUGUGGGAGAAGUGCAGGCUCACAAGAGCAUGCUCCUCAAGGUUCUGAGUUAUCUUCUGAUACAGUCGUAUCGGUGAAAGAAGGUGACAGCUCUGUCAAUGCUGAUCCAAGGAAUAGAGUCGAGAACUCAUGGAGAAGAGACAAUGCUCCCUGUGGCGAAGAUGGUGGACCUGAUGCAGACAAGUGGCGUGGGGAUCAUCCUCCUCACCAAAAUGCUGGCAUCCUCCCUCAGCAGUUUAAUGCUUGGCAUGGUCCUCUAGUUAACAAUCCUUCAGGCGGUGUUUGGUUCAGAGGGCCUCCAGGGGGCCCCCCUUAUGGAGCUCCUGUUGCACAUGGUGGCUUUCCUGUGGAACCAUUUCCUUAUUACCGUCCUCAAAUUCCACCUCCUGCUCUUCCCACCCUGCAGUCCAUUCCUCCUCCAGGUCCUGGACCUAGGGGACACCACUCAACUAGUGGAGAUAUGUAUAGACCUCAAAUGCCCGAUGGUUUUAUUCGCCCAGGUAUGCCUCUUAGGCCUGGGUAUUACUCUGGUCCUAUGACCUAUGAGGGUUAUUUUGGUCCUCCAAUGAACUACCACAAUUCAAAUGAACGAGAUAUUGCAUAUGCGGGGAUGGCAGCUGGCCCCUCUCGGUUUCCUGGCCAAAAUGCUCCUGAUAUUCCACAUAGAUCUGGUGGCUAUGGUUCCACUAAUAAAGCAUCAGAUGGUGAGGAAGUGGAUUUGGGUCAUCCUCAUGGUACAAGGGGGCAGUACAAAGUCCUCUUGAAGCAACAAGAGAGUUGGGAUGGAAAGGGUGAAGGGCAUAAACGGGAGGGAAGUGUUACAAAGGAUGAGUCAUCUCUGGACAAGGGAGAACCUGGCAACAAAGCAUCAUGGAAGAACCAUUGGAGAGUGGAUCGCAUCAAUGAAGAGAAAGAUCUAGAAAAUGCAGAACCAGUUGAGGAGGCUUCUCAGAAGUUUGAUUAUAGAGGGGGUGGUCCUGGUCCAACCAAGGUAAAGGCAUUUGAAAACGUGCAAAGGCCUGAUGAUACUGAUUCAGCGAGAGGACCGUAUAAGAGCUCUGUCCCAGAAGCUCCAAAAUCUUCUGUCGCUGCCCCAAAGGAUUCAAGUUUACUCCGGAAAAUUGAGGGAUUAAAUGCUAAAGCUCGGGUUUCUGAUGAUCGCCAUGAGUAUACAUUUGUUUCCAAUAGGGCAGAGGAAGAUGAUAACUUUCAAGGAACUCACACCAUGUCUAGCCAUUCUACAAAAGAAAUUGGCUCUGAUGCUCUUCAUGUUGAAAGAAUUCAUGCUGGUAAGGUGACCAAACCUAGCCUAUCUGAAAUGGAUUCUCCUAGUGGGCGUAAGAGCCUCGAGCAAGCUGAUGUCAGUGAGGCAACCAUUCCUAGGCAGUAUCCUCAUGGAGGACAAGGAAAAUCUUAUCAUCGUGGUAAAGGAAGAUCAAGUACUCAAGAUGUCGACGAGCGGUGGAAGAGAUCUAAGGAGCCUGACCAAUUAGUUGUUGUACCAGAUGCAUCUCUAGAGAUUUCUAACAUUCAUGUGCCCCAGCAUAUGUCUGGGAAGGCUAAUGAUAUCUGCGCACCAUUAUACCAAGGAAAGGAUGACGGAGGAACUGUGUCCAUUGCUUAUGAUCCCAACGAGAGUGAGGCGGAGCGAGCUAAGAUGAGAGAGUUGGCAAAGCAACGGGUGAAACAGCGGCAGUUCGAGGAGGAAGAACGAGCUAGAGAUCAGAAGGCAAAGGCACGCAUGAAAUUGGAAGAACUGAACAGACGUGCACAAGCUAUUGAUGGUUCAAUUGGAAAAGGUGAAAAUGUGUCAACCGGUGCUACUUUGAAUAAGCAACAUAACUUGCAGCCCAUUGUUGAAAUGACAAAAUCUUCUACUGGGUCUGUAGUGCUAAGCUCUCAGUCUGUUUCUAGUACCAUUACAGUUUCUCAAGUUAGUGAUGGUAUUGUAAGAUCCAUUGUUCCGCCCAAUCUUUCACAAGAACCACCUGAUGGUGCUUGUGAGGAACAUGCAUUGGUAGGCAAUCAGUCUGGGCUUUUGAAGCAGGACACCAAAACUGGUGGUGCUUCUGACCCUAUUGAAGAUGGUCGUACAUUUAAGCAGAAGCGUAUGGGAUUCAAACAUAAAUUACACAUUUCAUCAGAAAAAAACUUCAAUGAGAAGUGCACUCUUGAGCCGUCCAAAGUUGCUAAUGGAGCAGAUAGUGUCACAAAACCAGCUGAUGUUCCCUAUGAGAGUACUCCAAGCUGUGAGGAUAGGAUUCCUGUCAAUCCACAUGGUAUGGUUGAGUCUGUUCAGCAAAGAAGAAAAGGCAACAAGACUAGUAGGAACAAGCAUAAGGUGGAUGAGUCAUCAACUUUAUCUGCUUUACCUGUACUUGUAUCUAAAGAGAUCAUUGUGCCGAACACCAUAGAAGAAAGCAUUCAGCUAAAGUCUCCCGAGUCCAAUUUGGAUUCUGCACGGGUCGAGUCACUACCUGAUUCUGGAGAUGCCAAACAGCCUUCAGAGCGGCACUCUGCUGUCGCAGGUGAAGAAGUCCAUACUAGAGUAAAUUAUCAGUGGAAGUCACAGCAUUCUCGCAGGAUACCAAGAAAUCAACAAGCCAACCGGUUUGCAGAUAAGCUCCACGGUAGUGAAUCUGUUGUAUGGGCGCCUGUUCGAUCACAGAACAAAACUGAGGUUUCCGAUGAAGCUAGUGACAGGGCACUAGUUGAGAGUGUUAAUUCAACCGUCAAGAUCGACAAUCCAGUCCAGAACAAUCCAAAAAAUAAGAGGGCAGAGAUCGAGAGGUAUGUUCCAAAGCCUGCUGCCAAAGAAAUGGCUCAGCAAGGAAGUAUCCAUCAACAUACGGUUGCUUCAAGCAGUAUAAAUUCUGGAGAUGCUAGUGUUGAGGGGGGAGGAGGUUCAGGUUUGCAAAGCAUUGAAAAUGCUCAACCUGCCAGAGCAUCAUCUAGGAAUGGAGAUGGUAGGUUAAAUAAGCCAGGAAAAGCCCAUGGAUCAUGGCGCCAACGUGGGCCAAAGGAAUCAACUUUGCAUGAUUUGGUGGAUGGACAAUCUUAUACCUCGGACAUAGGUAAAGAUGUUCAAAAGUUGAGUGGGCAUCACCAAGCUGAGGAACGUGAACUAAGAUCAGUGGAUGAGAUGCCAAAAUGUUUUGAUGAGCUGGGUUCUGGUGAUGGUUCAAACCUUCCAAGUGAUUCCAACUCUGCUGCAGAGGUCGCAAUUCAUCCUGCCAGAGAUCAAGGAGUUGCAGGAAGAGGAAAGCGUCAUGCUUUCCGGGCAUAUAAAGCCACAGGGGUUACUGUAGAUCGUGAUCAGAAGAAAAGCAUUGAGGAAAUGGAUGAAAGUCAAAACCAAUCUUUGGCUCCUGAGGCGAUCCAAAGAAGUCCAGUUGUUCCAAAGGAAAGCCAUGUUGUUUCUGAACGUUCAACUUCUCAUUGGCAACCCAAAUCCCAUUCAUCUUCUGCUCAUAUUUCUCGAGGAAGUAGGAUGACUGGAGGUCAAAAUAUUCAGGCCGACAGUGGUGGAAUUGAUGCAGAGCUCCCUCAUGGUGGUGUACCCGCUUUAGCACAGCAUGAAAUGGAACAUCGUGAUGCUUUGUCCACCAAUGACAAUCAAAAACAUGAUUCCCGAAAAGAUUAUUCAAAUGAAGCAGGGCAGGUAGAGGAUAAGAUGGAAAUGAAGGCUAUAGCAAUUGGAGUCCGUACCCAUUCUUCGACACAGGUUCCAGUUAGGUCAACUGGUGAUGUGCGUCACGAGUCCCAAUUUCCUUCAGGGUUCCACAAGAACCAGGGUGGUCGAAAUGCAAGAGGCAAUGGAUCUCAUGGAGAUUGGAACUCAAGUGGGCAGGAAAAUAACCGACAUCGGGAAAGACAGCGGCCCAACUCACACUUCAGAUAUCAGCCUGUGGGGACAUACAGCGACAACAGAUCAAACCAUGUCGAAGGAUCCAAAGAUGUUUCUCAAAGUACAGGCAUGAAGUUUAAGGAGAAGAGUGGUCAAGGCAGUUCCAGGCGUGGUGGAGGGAACUAUACAGACCGGCAAGUUGGCACUGGUCGAGUUGAUUCUGACUGUAAUUAGUAGAGAGUAGAGUCCUAGAUGUGUUCUGUUGUAGACGGCUCCUCUGGUCUUGAUUGGUAAUACCCCUGUGCCUUCAGGUAUUGAUAUUUGCUGAUUACUGCGGACGAGGUAGGCUGCUGUACCAUCUCGAGUGAUGGUUUGUCAUGUGAAUGGUUGUCCAGGUCGAGAGCGUGGCAGAUGCAUCUCGGAUAGUCGGUUGAUAUGGGUUGGUUUUGACAUAUGUGGUGGGCUUCUUUCCUUACCUUGUUUUUACAAACGCAUUGUUCUGCACAAUUUAAUAUGGUCAUGGUCUUUUCUUCAAUGGAUCUUUUCACAUGUUCCCUUGACAUUUGUACUUGAUUAGCCAAUAGCUUCGCUGCUCUUUAACAAUGAGGCAUAGAGACUGAAGCCGUCAACUUAGAUCAGACUUCCUUUUUAGGUGCUAAGUGAGCUUAUAGGACACCAUCUGCCCCAGCAGUUAUGUGGGAUUUGUGGUGGAUUCUGGUUUAUAGCUUGUUUGUUGAUGACUUCUUGUUGAUAAACAUUCCUUGUUGCUGGAUGCUAGCCAUGCCGAUUGCGGCUCGUGGCUAAUUUGUUGGGCUCGAUUAUUUGCAGUGUCUGGGCAUGUCUAUGAGCUAUGAGAUAUUAUACAUUAUAUUUUCUAAUGUA